rnacentral:rRNA from 1 species
UACGUAGGGGGCAAGCGUUAUCCGGAUUUACUGGGUGUAAAGGGGGCGCAGACGGCGAUGCAAGCCAGGAGUGAAAGCCCGGGGCCCAACCCCGGGACUGCUCUUGGAACUGCGUGGCUGGAGUGCAGGAGGGGAAGGCGGAAUUCCUGGUGUAGCGGUGAAAUGCGUAGAUAUCAGGAGGAACACCGGUGGCGAAGGCGGCCUGCUGGACUGCAACUGACGUUGAGGCCCGAAAGCGUGGGGAGCAAACAGG